UUAUUGCGGCAUUAUAAAAUGACUCCAAGUCAUGCAUGCAGGCGACAGCAAUUAUAAUUAUUCUACAUCAAAAAAACAGUGCUCAGCAAAUGUAUUCUAAAUAUUCAGAUUUAAAAAA